UGGGGAAUCUUGGACAAUGGGGGCAACCCUGAUCCAGCCAUGCCGCGUGAGUGAUGAAGGCCUUAGGGUCGUAAAGCUCUUUCGCCUGUGAAGAUAAUGACGGUAGCAGGUAAAGAAACCCCGGCUAACUCCGUGCCAGCAGCCGCGGUAAUACGGAGGGGGUUAGCGUUGUUCGGAAUUACUGGGCGUAAAGCGCACGUAGGCGGACCAGAAAGGUUGGGGGAUGAAAUCCCGGGGGCAUCCGAACCCCGGAACUGCCAUCCAAAACUAUUGGUCUAGAGUUCGAGAGAGGUGAGUGGAAUUCCAAGUGUAGAGGUGAAAUUCGUAGAUAUUUGGAGGAACACCAGUGGCGAAGGCGGCUCACUGGCUCGAUACUGACGCUGAGGUGCGAAAGUGUGGGGAGCAAACAGGAUUAGAUACCCUGGUAGUCCACACCGUAAAACGAUGAAUGCCAGUCGUCGGGUAGCAUGCUAUUCGGUGACACACCUAACGGAUUAAGCAUUCCGCCUGGGGAGUACGGUCGCAAGAUUAAAACUCAAAGG
rnacentral:rRNA from 1 species